rnacentral:rRNA from 1 species
GACGAACGCUGGCGGCGUGCUUAACACAUGCAAGUCGAACGGAAAGGCCCUGCUUUUGUGGGGUGCUCGAGUGGCGAACGGGUGAGUAACACGUGAGUAACCUGCCCUUGACUUUGGGAUAACUUCAGGAAACUGGGGCUAAUACCGGAUAGGAGCUCCUGCUGCAUGGUGGGGUUGGGAAAUUUCCGCCGCUUGGGGAUGGACCCGCGGGUCAUCAGCUUGUUGGUGGGGUAGUGGCUUACCACGGCUUUGACGGGUAGCCGGCCUGAGAGGGUGACCGGCCACAUUGGGACUGAGAUACGGCCCAGACUCCUACGGGAGGCAGCAGUGGGGAAUACUGCACUAUGGGCGGAAGCCUGAUGCAGCAACGCCGCGUGCGGGAUGACGGCCUUCGGGUUGUAAACCGCUUUCGCCUGUGACGAAGCGUGAGUGACGGUAAUGUGUAAAGAAGCACCGGCUAACUACGUG